AUUGAACGCUGGCGGCAGGCCUAACACAUGCAAGUCGAACGGUAACAGGAAGAAGCUUGCUUCUUUGCUGACGAGUGGCGGACGGGUGAGUAAUGUCUGGGAAACUGCCUGAUGGAGGGGGAUAACUACUGGAAACGGUAGCUAAUACCGCAUAACGUCGCAAGACCAAAGAGGGGGACCUUCGGGCCUCUGGCCAUCGGAUUUGCCCAGGUGGGAUUAGCGAGUAGGUGGGGUAACGGCUCACCGAGGCGACGACCCCUAGCUGGUCUGAGAGGAUGACCGGCCACACUGGAACUGGGCCACGGUCCAGACUCCUACGGGGGGCAGCAGUGGGGAAUAUUGGACAGUGGGCGCAAGCCUGGUGCAGCCAUGCCGCGUGUAUGAAGAAGGCCUUCGGGUUGUAAAGUACGUUCAGCGGGGAGGAAGGGAGUAAAGUUAAUACCGUGGCUCAUUGACGUUACCCGAAGAAGAAGCACCGGCUAACUCCGUG
rnacentral:rRNA from 1 species